GGGCUUACCCAGAAGGCCGCGCUCCACUCUCCAACCGGAACGGCGGGGAAGCCGCUGCAGUAUAGGCUUGUAGUCCAGCUAAUGCGAAAGGAGUGAACUGAAUAGUGCCCGGCACCUUACACGUGGGCUGUUCGCUGAUACAGCAUUCUAUGCUAAGAUGUGAGAGAAACCAUCAGAAGGCCUCCUGAGGACCUUAUAACAACAGUGUUUCACCUGAAGAGGCAUCAGGUCAUGCCUAAGGAGCAGUGGACAAAUAUGAGGAAGUAGAACAGGUUUGCUGUGUCUAGCAGUGUUGGUCGCUUAGGGGGCAGUGCCAUAAAUGGGAAACAUGGUUGUUUGUGCAGCGCUUCAGUGUUCGCCAAGUCAUGCCCCAUGAAUAGCAUUUCAGCAGCCAAGUGAGGUUAGCAGAGAGCUCAGCUCUAUCUUGAAGAACAACGUGGUAAGACUUGUGGUGACUAAGCUGGUCUCUAGCGUGGAAGGCCCGGUUUAGAAUCCAGGUUUUCUGCCUCGUGGGCCACUGUGUUUUCCCUGAACUCUGGUUCCUGCUUUCUGAAGAGUUUUAGUUCUAUGAAGUCCACUGCGUGAUCUGCUAGCUCGUGGGAGGGUUGGACUUCUGUCCUCAUGCCUCAUCGACACCAGGCAAGUCUGGAGACUCAGUUUCUCCCCGGUGCUCUUCCUGACCUACACUGAUUUUUGUGAGGUUUUACAUUUAAAAAGCACAUAGUUCUAGAAGUUAAGUUACAAGCAAAAAGUAAUCCAUUAUAUUGAGUUUUAUUUGUGGUUUAUGACAUGUUACUUUCUUCUUCAUUCUUUAGGACAAAUUCAACCUUGAAUUCUAUCAGAAAGCGCUUACUUGAAAAACAAAAGAGAGAGAAGGACUUUCUAGUUGCUGUUUAACUGCUUGGAGAUGGGAAGGCCUGCCUUAGUUAUUUCUUCAUUGACUAGGUAAACAGCCAGCAUUUCAUACAAGCUGAGUGGUCAACUUUGACUCCCUUUGUAGGUUUGAGACACUGGGAAGUCAUAGCAAGGCCUAAAUUACAGGUGUAAGAGGGGGAAGCGGCAACAUCAGCUUCCAGAGUGACUCAUGAGAAGGAAAAGUUUACCCUGGUUUCUCAGGACAUGAGAUGCUGCUCUCUACCUAGAUUUAUUUUGCAUCCAGCCAUUUAGAAAGGAAUGAUGUAUGUAUCCCAGUCUGGGCUUAUAUAACUUCUCUGUGUAUGUAUAGGUACGUGUGCCCCUGUGUUAAUCAAUAUGUAGGUUAGAAAAUUGAAAAAUAAAGCACUAGGAAAAGAAGAGGGAAAAACCAAAAGACAAAUUACAGUUUCUUUCAAAUACUGGUUUGAGAACUAGGUAUUGAGUUGGGCAUAGUGCAUGCACAGUUAACCACAGCACUCAGGACAUAGGCAGGCAGACCUGGUCUACAUAGUGAUUCUAGGACAACCAGUGCUACAUAGAGCCUGUCUCAAAACCACCAAAACCCUGGGUGCUAGUCAGCAAAGAGUUUUCAGAUUAUAGGCUAAUAUAAAAGUACAAAUUAGUCACUUCUGCUGUGAGUUUUCUGGUUCUUUGGGAGUGAGUGCUGUAACCGCAGUGGGCAGCGUAGAAGGAGGAGUACCCUCUCAAGAGCAUUCGAAGGUGACCUGCAGACUUGCUAUUACAUUUAAAAUCACAAAAUGUGUUGGUGGCACAGGCCUUUAAUCCCAGCACUCAAGAGGCAGAGGCAGGCGGAUCUCUGAGUUCAAGGCUAGCCUGGUCUACAGAGUGAGCCCAUCACAGGGCUCUGUUACACAGAGAAACCUUGAAAAACCAAAAGAAGAAACAAAGUUCAUAAAAUGAUCAAAAUGCACAGGCGCAUAUAUACAUUUCUUACACAUACACACAAAGAUGAUUAAAAAAGACACUUAGGUUGGUCUUUACCACAGGAGCCCAGCGUGUUUUAGAGCCAGAUGUACUAGGCGUGGUGGCAAACUCAGCACUUGGGAGACAGAUGGCUGGCCUUGGAGUUUGAGCUCAGCCUGGGGUGUAGAGUGUUAAAAAUAUGUAAUAUCUUGAAAGAUUGGAAAAUACUAGAAAGCUACUUUAUUUAAUUUCCAUAAAAACUUUCCUCACACCCUCUUCUAUUUGGAAAUCCAUCUUGAAACUUACUCUUGUCAAUUCUCCAGUGAGUUAGAGCCUUCCUAAAAAUGGUUUUGCUUGUAAAAAUAAUUCCUUAACAUCAUAAACAUUGUAAGCUCUUAAAGAAAAACUAAGGAGAUGGACUUAAAGCGAUGAGUUGUUUUUUUAACUUUAAAAAAAAAAAACUUUUUGUUUCGUGUGCAUUGGUGUUUUGUCUGCAUGUUUAUCUGUGUGAGGGUGUUGGAUCCCGUAAAACUUGAGUUACAAACAGCGCUCAGCUGCCAUGUGGAUGCUGGGAAUUGAACCUGUGUCCUCUGGAAGAGCAGCCAGUGCUCUUAGCCAGUGAGCCAUCUCCCCAGGAACAGGAGAUAUUUGAUUUGAAAAUGUGGGAUAACAGUGGGCAACCUCUCAUUUUGGGGAGACUUCCUGCCCAAGCCAAACUGCCAGCCUACAUCACUUAGCUACUGAGUUCUAAAUGAGCAAAUACACACAAGUCUCUUGAAAACCUUAGAAUGUACUUAUGGCUGUGUUUGGGUUUUUCUGUUUUGGGCUUUGUUUUUGUUUUGAGACAGGGCCUUCCUAUGUUGCUCUGGCUGGCCUGCAGCUCACCAUGUGGACGAGGUUGGUUCACCGAGCUGGGAUUAAGCACCACCACAGUCGCUCAAUGUUUUCAGUGUUGUGAGUUAUUCUGUUUAUUGAAGAAUAAUCACGACCGGGAUUUACAUCACUAGGAGGCCAGGGGAAUGGAAAGAGCUGGUGAGCAGACCAGUGCAACCCUGGCAUUGACAGAGGACAGCCUUUUUGUUAGCCGGAACUGUCCUGUCAGGGCUGGAGAGGUGGCCCAGAGGUCAAGAACAUUCUCUCUUCUUUCAAAGGUCCUGAGUUAUUCCCAGCAACCACAUGGUGGCUCACAACCAUCUACAGUGAGAUCUGGUGCACAGGCACACAUGCAGGCAGAAUGCUGUAGAAACAAUAAAUGAAUAAAUCUAAAAACAAAAUCAAACAAAAAAAAGCUGUCUGCAAGUCACCGGGAAAUCUGAAACAGCUGAAAGCAAGUCAUUCUGAGCUGAAUCUGGGUUGGACCGCACAAGCCUCAAUCCCUUUACUUCCUCCUUAACCUUAGGAAGACCAACCUCUGUGCAUCCAAUUGCUCACCUGUAAGAUAAAGGUAAUGAUAGAAUAAGUUUUACAGUGUCGUAAAAAUGUACUCACUAUAUUACAUGGCAAGAACUUACAUCACAGAAUUAUCUGGGGAAGUGCCAUCAAAACAAAUUGAAGCCUGAUAACCAAGGCCCGAUGGUCUCUCUUCUUUCUCUUCGGGUCACUCACUCCUGUUCCAUUCCCUUUGAAUGUCUGUCCUUGAAGGAAGUUACUGUCACCUACGUUGGAAAGAGGAGGAAGUGCUCAUCUGCAGUGGCUUUAAUGAGGGUGGAGCCCAGCUGGGUCCAGAUUUUACUUUUUACACUGACAGUGUUCUGCUUCAAACACUUCACAUCCUGCUAUAUUGCUUUGCACCAUUUAAAAUGUAUUUAUUCAUCAAAGUCUGAGAUUGAUCUUGGCUUGAAAUAUAUGCCUUUUCUAAAUCUUGAAGAAAGACAUAUUUGUUACUGAGAAGAGAUCUAUGUUCUGAUUAUUGUUUUUAUUAUUAUUAUUUUUACUAUACUCUGAAAGUCCAUCUAGAACAGUGUUGGCUUAGGUGCCCUUCUGUGUCAGUCACCCUUCCUGUUGCCAAAAUGUGGGAAGGAGAGUAAGGCUGGCUGGGACCCCAGACCUCAAAUGCUCAUGCUGGCUUUAUUCCAUACUACAUACAAAUACUUAAUGGUAGUCUUUGUGCGUGACACCCUAUGUUCAAGAAAAAAAAAUCUUUAUUAACAGUAUUGGUGCUGCUCUCAAGUCCUAGAAUCUGAAAAUCUAAAGUGUAGAAUGUAAUGACUUCAUGUACCUAUGCAAAGACUCCCUGUAAGGUAUUUGCUCUGCAUUAAUUCUAACCUGCUAACAGACUCAAAAGUAGAAUAAAAACUAGUCCAAAGUCCAAAAUCCUAUAGUCAUACAAUCCUUCCAAAGUCACAGUCAGGUAGUGUGUGUGUGUUUGUUUGUUUGUUUGUUUGUUUAAAUAGAAGUAUGUUGAAAGUUAAGUGAACAUACCAGCACUCAGGAAGGCAGAGGCAGGCAUAUCUCUGUGAGUUCGAGGCCAGCCUGAUCUACGAAGCCAGUCCACGACAGUCAAAGCUACACGGAGAAACCCUGUCUUAAAAAACAAAACAACAACAAAAGGUUAAGUGAACAUAGAACUCACACCCGGAUCCUUGAUGUCCUGAUGGUGAAGAGCGGAGCAGUUUGCGCUGUGCCCGAGAUGCUGCUUCGGGCCCAGCCCCAGGUGGUGAGCACGGCAAGAUGGGCUCAUGCAGCCCCACCCCAAUCAUACAGCUCUUUCCGUUAGGAAGCAAGAGUCCAGGGGGAAGAGAUCCACAACCAGGCAAUACAGUCUAUGCUAGAAACACAGCGCCCUUCCGCCCUCCAUGCGCCCCGUGUAGAGACGAAGCUUCUCAUCGGCCCCUUGUGUGCAGGGGGCCUAGGUCCAGACCACGCAUGCUCCAUAGUUGAUGUCUCAGUCUGAAAGUCCCCAGGAGUCUGGGUUAGUUGUCUCUGUUGGUCUUCUUGUGAGGUUCCUGUCCCCUCCAGGUCCUUCCAUCUUUCCCCCAACACUUCCACAGGACCCCCGGAGCUCCGCCCCACACUUGGCUGCAAAUCCCAGCAUCUGUAACUAUCCACUGCUGCCUGGAGCCUCCCAGAUGAUGGUCAAGUUAGGCUCCUGGCUGACUCAAAUUCUGCCACUAGGCGGCACUGCGCUACAACUUUGCAACUCGAAGGCGCACUGCCCUGGGGAAGAUUUAUCCAUUUUGUACCCUCACCAACUCCCUCUCCUUCAUUUUUCAGGAUGACAACACCUUGCAGGGUUAUGGCCAUCAGGAGAAUUUACUGCUAAGCUAUAUACUGAUGUAAUGAAAUCUAAUAUCUGCUGUGCCGUGAAUUAUGAGAUGUUAUUUAGUUUGGGGAUUUUAUUACUUCAAUCACUUAUGACCAUAUUUCCUUUUAUAUGAUUGCUCACUCUUUAAACAUACCAGAUGACUAUACAUGGAACACCUAAUAAAGUCCAUACAUGUUAAAACAUUGUUAAAAUAGAAAUGUUUUCAUUUAUUUGCCAUAAUUUGUUUAAAUUUUGGUUAUACGGGUGUUGGUACUAAAAACAAAACAAAACAAAACAUAGCAUGGGGCCAGCGAGAUGGCUUAGUGGGUAAAAGGACUUGCCACCAAGAUUGACAACCUGAAUUUAAUCUUGAGAACUCACAUGGUGGAAGAACUGAACUCACAAGUUUUCUUCUGACCUCCAGGUACACACACACACACACACACAUAGAAAUACUGGUUUUUAAAAAGCCACAGCAUGUUAGAAUCUAAGGCCUUAAAUCUGAUGCUGCUGCUAAGUUAAACCUGGCUAAGAUAUUUGCCUGUCCGUGUUGAUAAUUGAGCAAAAAGUGCUGAAUCAUUCCUAGGAAGUUAUAUUUUAGCACAUACACCAGAAUCUCUGUGGAUAUUUAAGUGUUUUAUGACAAACUAUUUAAAUAAUUCUGAAUUCUGACGAGAUCACCUACAGUAGAAAGAAUGUAUUAUUUGUUUAACUUUGUAUUUAAUACAAUUGCCUGUUUGUGCAUAAAUGCCAGAAAUGUAAUUUUAAAAUAAACCCCUGUGAAACUUCUGGUAACAUUA